AAGGAAUAGCCCAGAGAAAUUUGGAUUAAUACCUUAUGAUAAUAUUUAUUCGCAUGUUUAAAUAUUUAAAACUCCGGUGGAAGAAGAUGGGCAUGCGUAACAUUAGUUUGUUGGUGAGGUAAUGGCUCACCAAGACUACGAUGUUUAGGGGGUCUGAGAGGAUGAUCCCCCACACUGGUACUGAGACACGGACCAGACUCCUACGGGAGGCAGCAGUGAGGAAUAUUGGUCAAUGGACGAAAGUCUGAACCAGCCAUGCCGCGUGAAGGAUGACGGCCCUACGGGUUGUAAACUUCUUUUGUAUAGGAAGAAACCCCUCUACGUGUAGAGGGUUGACGGUACUAUUCGAAUAAGCACCGGCUAACUCCGUGCCAGCAGCCGCGGUAAUACGGAGGGUGCGAGCGUUAUCCGGAAUUAUUGGGUUUAAAGGGUGCGUAGGCGGAAAUUUAAGUCAGUGGUGAAGGCCUGCAGCUUAACUGUAGAAUUGCCAUUGAUACUGGAUUUCUUGAAUCUAAUAGAAGUAGGCGGAAUAUGACAUGUAGCGGUGAAAUGCUUAGAUAUGUCAUAGAACACCGAUAGCGAAGGCAGCUUACUAUGUUAGUAUUGACGCUAAUGCACGAAAGCGUGGGGAGCGAACAGGAUUAGAUACCCUGGUAGUCCACGCCGUAAACGAUGAUUACUCGCUAUUGGCGAUACACUGUCAGUGGCUAAGCGAAAGUGAUAAGUA
rnacentral:rRNA from 1 species